rnacentral:rRNA from 1 species
UACGAAGGGGGCUAGCGUUGUUCGGAAUUACUGGGCGUAAAGCGCACGUAGGCGGACUAUUAAGUCAGGGGUGAAAUCCCGGGGCUCAGCCCCGGAACUGCCUUUGAUACUGGUAGUCUCGAGUCCGGAAGAGGUGAGUGGAAUUCCGAGUGUAGAGGUGAAAUUCGUAGAUAUUCGGAGGAACACCAGUGGCGAAGGCGGCUCUCUGGGCCUUACCUGACGCUGAGACGCGAAGGCGUGGGGAGCGAACGGG